UGUACUGUAAAAAGCAAGAUCGCCCGAGGCGUUACACCUCGAACCAGUAAAACUUGUCGUACGCUAGUGCUAAAGUGCGCGGAGCCGCGGCGGAACGCCGCCGAACAGUCCCGACGCCGCUGCCGAGCCGGUGGAAACGGUCCGUCGACGCGCAGCCGCUGACCCCGUUGGCUGCUGAUCGCAGUUGUCUUCUCCGCGACAAUCGUUAUCGGUAUCGAACCACGAUCUACCGGAGAGUCUUCGUGUCACCCACCCCCCUCGGGCGCAGGAGCAGGUAGCAGGAGGAAUGAAAGACGAGUUAGCUCCCCAGGGAAUUUAUUUCCACCGUCGCUGACGUCUCGCGCGGUUUCGUCUUUGGCUCCAGCGAUGUACUAUGUCUUUCGCCGUCGAAGGUCGACCGUCUCCGACGCGCGCGCGUCACGGGUAACAUGCGGGAGAUCCUUGGCAAUGGCACCGUUCAGGCGAUCUUGACACGUGACGAGUAAUCUGCUUACGUUCCCAGUCCUUGGUGUACAUGGACGGUUAACUGGAGCACACGCCACGUGGAAGACGUUAUUCGAGUAAUCUGAGAACACCCGGCACAAGGACACCGGCAAAAACCGGGGAGUGACAUAAUCCAGGACACAAAGGGCCGAACAGUCGCAUGGUCCCGUACUUAUCGUUCUCCAGCACGGUCGACCUAUCGCAUUGCGAGCUGGGCUGGUUCGGUGUCAGAUUGUAGCAGUAGGGAUAAGCGUAGUAGCCCCAGCUGGCGGACGGUCUAAUCUCCUUGGCAGCCCUCAAUGUUUCCUCCAUGAAAAGUUUCCCGUACUUCUCGAAGCUGCGCCUCGCUUCCUGCUCCACCGCCCGGCUGCUCCAGAACGGGUGCUGUUUCCGCGCCAACUCAAUGGAGAAGUCCUUAUACGGCUGAAGGGAAGCCCAGUUCUGCCUGAAGAUCGGUCGCCAACUUUCAAAAUCGAUCACGCCGACGCCGUUAAACGACUCGUCGGGUAUCUGCUCGGUUAAGUGCUUCCGAAAGAUCUCCAGAUGCUUGGACACCGUACGCGCACCAAGGAGCCGCGUCGUUUACCGUCCGAAUCCUUCAGCAACGCUGGGAACAUCCCCGGGUCGUAGAGGAUCGCGAUCUUGUCCCCCCGGAACUCGUCCAUCUUGUUCUGAAGGAUCCCGUACACCUCGGACACCUCCUCGAAACGCAUGCCGUACUUGUGGCACAUGAAUGUGGGCACGUUCCAGUACACGUUGAAACGCCUGUCCUCGUCCUUCGGCGUGACCGGUCGGAAGCUAGGGAAGAGAAGACACAACAGAAGAGGUGUUAGACGGCCGUGCCCGGAGCGGCAGGACAAGCUUGCCAACGUUCGCGAAGCGGAUCGAAGUUUGUUUGAAGGCGAAGCGAUUUAAAUUUAAAACGGGAGCGGGACUAGACAGGCACCCCGUUCUAGCGGCGGAUGGUUCGACGUUAGGUGUACCCGAAUAGAAAUCCGUUGGCGAGCGCGGGGCCCAGCAGGAACAACGCUGUCAGCGACAUUCUUCGGCCAUAGGAACAUGAACCUUGACGCACAGUGUCCAUCGAUGACUGGGUUUGAUACGUCCGUAACACGCGUGCAAGGCGAACGAAGAUGAUUAUCGAUCCGGCGGCCAGGACCGGAAUGAUUCCGCGAUGACCCCCCGGGUGAACGAAGUUCCUUCGCGGAUACCACGCGGACGACGAUGGCACAACAGAGCGGUGC